UUGAUAUCUUUUUUUUUUUUUUUUUGUUAAUACAAAUUCAUUUUUCCUUAGACUGGCCAAUGGUAAUCAGCUUGACGAUAUGCAUCAGGGUCUGCCUGCAAAGGAAAGGCUGUCCUCUUUAGCAUUCAGAUGGGAAGACGUUCAUUCAGCUGGUGGUGUGCUGAACACAAGACCAUGAAUAUGCAAAGUAUAACCAAGUGACUUUGCUUUUAAUUACGCAAGUCAGUGUUCUGAUCCGGUACACCCAUGGCUUCACCUUUGGCA
rnacentral:lncRNA from 1 species